CAGGCCUCCUGCGUCCCCUCCCCGCCCACCCUAGGCCACCAAUGGCAUCCCCAGACACCAGCCACAAAAGGCACUCUGUUGUCCUGCCGGCCCUCUGAACAGUGCCCGCCUGUGUGUCCUGAGAAAAGGCUGCACGGGGGGAGGGGCGGGGUGGGCGCCCUCGUCACUGACUGCCCAGGGGGCUGGGAGGCAGACGAGGCUUUCUGGAGGAGCUGCCCGUGAGAUCU
rnacentral:lncRNA from 1 species